UUGCUCAGCUGAACCUGAAGCUUGAUGAAGAAGGCCGUCAAUAUUUCAACAAAAACUAACAGAAUAUGGAUCAGAUUCGGACAACGACUUCUUAAGACAUUCACACAACAGGCUAAACAAUUCAAAGAGGGAUCUCUGGAUGAUCGAGCAGCAAGUCCAGCAUUAUGUGGGAAAGAUACUACAGGUGUACACAGAAAAGGCCAUGUUCAUGUACAAGACACGGUUGGAGUUCAUAAAAGAUUAAGCUGCCUCGUGCUAUACAGACGUGGAUAAAAACAAGCUGUCCAAUGAAUGGUGACUACUCAAGAGGAGCCAGAAAGUCAACUAAGGCCAGGGUAUUUUGGGAGUUGAUAUGGCCGGGGAAGGGGGGGAGGGGGGGGGGGUUUCCAGGGCCCCCCCCCUCCCUUGAGAUCUCGACCGCACAAUCGUGU